GAGGGUAGAGCUCAGUGGUAGAGCACGUGCUUAGCAUGCACAAGGUCCUGGGUUCAAGCCCCAGUACCUCCA
rnacentral:tRNA from 1 species